UACGUAGGUGGCGAGCGUUGUCCGGAUUUACUGGGCGUAAAGGAUGCGUAGGCGGAUGUUUAAGUCAGAUGUGAAAAUCCCGAGCUUAACUUGGGAACUGCAUUUGAAACUGGAUAUCUAGAGUGCGGGAGAGGAGAAUGGAAUUCCUAGUGUAGCGGUGAAAUGCGUAGAGAUUAGGAAGAACACCAGUGGCGAAGGCGAUUCUCUGGACCGUAACUGACGCUGAGGCAUGAAAGCGUGGGUAGCAAAC
rnacentral:rRNA from 1 species